CUCGUACACACCGCCCCGUCACAACCAUUGGGACGUGGGUUCCACCCAGAAGUAGGUAGCCUAACCGUAAGGAGGCGCUUACCACGGUGAGAUUCAUGACGUGGGUG
rnacentral:rRNA from 1 species